CACCAGAACAAAAGGGUUUUUAACCAGACCAACCUACCAACAUGUGUUUCGACCCGCUGAAUCCGAUUCUGAGAUCCGUUUGACUCGUAC